rnacentral:rRNA from 1 species
ACGUAGGGUGCAAGCGUUGUCCGGAAUUACUGGGUGUAAAGGGAGCGCAGGCGGACCGGCAAGUUGGAAGUGAAAACUAUGGGCUCAACCCAUAGAUUGCUUUCAAAACUGCUGGCCUUGAGUAGUGCAGAGGUAGGUGGAAUUCCCGGUGUAGCGGUGGAAUGCGUAGAUAUCGGGAGGAACACCAGUGGCGAAGGCGACCUACUGGGCAUCAACUGACGCUGAGGCUCGAAAGCAUGGGUAGCAAACAG